AAAAGUUUUAAAUCUAGGCCUCAAAAGAAUUCAAACAAUAAACUUCUUUACAAGAAAAAACACUUUUUAACUUAGUAAAUUUAUUUGAAAGAACCUCUAGCCCGAAAGAAAUAGUACCGCAAGGGAAAGAUGAAAUACCAAUAACUAAUAAACCUAACAAAGGAAAGGUAACCCCUUUUACCUCGUGUAUAAUGGAUUAACGAGUACAUAGAAAAGUUUUUCCUACCCCGAAACUGAACGAGCUAAUCUCCCCUCCUUUUAAGAAGGACCAAACCACUGUUGCAAUAGUGGAAGAUAAAGGGAAGAUUAGAUGUGAAAUGCUAAGCGCGUUCAGAAAUAGCUGGUUCCCCAAGAAAUUAGUUUGAGCUAAGCCUUUACAAAAAAAUAAAUCCUCUUUAAACAUAUAAAAGGAUCCCUUAAAAUUUUUAAGCAAAGGUUAGGACUUUAGGGAUAAGCUUAAAGCCCACAAUGGAAAACUCCAACACUAAUAGCUAAAGACAAUAAACUUACAGAAUAGUUACCAAUAAAGGAAUAGGCCUAAAAGCAGCCACUUAAAAAGAAAGCGUUAAAGCUCAAUUAUUUUCUCUAACUAGAAAAUUUUUGAAGUAUACUUCUAAAGCUAUAAAGAUUUAUUGGGGCGCUCUGUUAUCAGAAGAGACAAUGUUAAUAUGAGUAAGACAAACUUCACCUGCGUAUUAUACGCUUCUAACUUUGGAGCAAAAAACAUUGAGACUAAAAACCUCGUUUUUUAAAUCGUCUUCCAACUCAGGAGAAGGAACACAAAAUUAAAUGAAGAAAAGGAACUCGGCAAAUCUUAGUUUCGCCUGUUUACCAAAAACAUCGCCCCCCGAAAAAUUUUAACAUGGGGGGUCCUGCCUGCCCAGUGACUCGAGGUUAAACGGCCGCGGUAUCUUGACCGUGCGAAGGUAGCAUAAUCAUUUGUCUCCUAAAUAGAGACUAGUAUGAAUGGCAAGACGGAACUAAACUGUCUCUUUUUCACAACUCCGAAUUUCACCUCCCCGUGAAGAGGCGGGGAUAAAAUCGUUAGACGAGAAGACCCUGUCGAGCUUACAGCAAAAAUCGAGCUUUUAAUUCACUUGACCUCUACUAACCUAUAAAUUUAUACGAGAACAAGCUUUUAAAAGCCUCGAACAAGCUUUGGUUGGGGCAACCGCGGAGUAGGAAAAUCCUCCGCUAAUAAAACAAUUUUACAAAGAAUUACAAUUCUACAAUCAAAAUGAAAGUAUGAUCCACUAAGGUGAUCAAAGGAACAAGUUACCGCAGGGAUAACAGCGUUAUCUUUUCUGAGAGUUCACAUUGACGAAAAGGUUUGCGACCUCGAUGUUGGAUCGGGACAUCCUAAGGGUGCAGAAGCUUUUAAGGGUUGGUCUGUUCGACCAUUAAAGUCCUACGUGAUCUGAGUUCAGACCGGCGAGAGCCAGGUCAGUUUCUAUCUACGUAAAAAUCUUUCUUAGUACGAAAGGACCAGAAAGAGAGUGCCCAUGCACCAAAUGUAAGCACUUCAAAUUAAAAAAC
rnacentral:rRNA from 1 species